rnacentral:sRNA from 1 species
CGAUCAAUAUUCGAAACAUUGCCAUAUUAGUUGUAUUUUAAGAGUCGUACUUUAUGGUUGUUGUAAGCGCGAAACGCACAAGCCUAUCAACCAGAUAACCAGAUCAACUUGUCGUAAACGGAUAUUUUUACAAUAAAAAAAAUAAAUGAAAAACAAAUAGAAAAACAAAAAAGGCAAAAAAUACCUAUAAGAAACAAAAAUAUUUUAUUAAACAAAAGAAAUAUAUUAAAAAAAAACCAAAACACCUAGCAAAUAAAAAUAAAUAAAUUUUAAUAGUUUUCAAGCAACAAGUGCAGUGAAAUUUUCUUACAAUCUUUUCAAAAAGAUACCUGGUUAUAAAUGAUUUAUGAUUUAUAAAUUGUGAGUUUUUCUUUAUUGUGUGUUUAGAAAAGUUAAAUCAUUGCAACUAUUCACAAUAUAUUUUAUCUAAAACAACAGUUAUAGUAAAACAAAAACCUAUCGUUCGAUCGGUGUUCGAUUUUUCUCUCAUCCGUUUUGUGUGUGCGAGUUUUUUUUUCUUAUUUUGUCUUCUUCAUUUAUUGGUUUUGUUACCAAUUUUCGCUGUGUAUGUUUGUUUGUGAGCUACCGUAGUCGCAGCCGCUAUCUGUCUGUCGGUCGGUCGGUCGUUUGUCCAACUAUGUAUGGUGUUAUGUUGAAUUGUGGCUAAACAACGGAAUCCCCCGCGUGCGCCUUCAACUUCUAGCAGCCAAGAAGAAAAACGAAAAAAAAAAAACAAAACACAACAACACUCUUCAUAAUACAUUACAAAAACCAAGCAAGAAUCAAAGUCUCAUCGGUUUGUGGUGUUUCAACGACAACGUUAACGUAGACGCCUGCCUGCCUUCUUGUCAACGCAGAUCCCAUAUAACACACCAACUCCCCACUUAACAAAAGCAAAAUACGAAACAGUUGAAAAGAGUUGAGCUUACACACAAUUAUUAUGAAUUUUGUCGCUGUUUCAAGUUUUUAUUUUUUGUCAUCGUGUAUUGAGGUGUAUUGGCGCGGUGGAGUUUAAGCAUUCACACACUAUCCAACCAACCAACCAACCAACCUCCCCCCAAAAUUCCCCACACACCAGACAGAAACAACAAACCAUAAAGAAAACGAUUUACAAAAAAAUAAAAUAUAACAGAAAUAUUUUUAAAAAACAAAACAGAAAAUAAAAAAUUGUUAAUGUGUGGUGCUAGCAGCUAGAGCUCCAAAAUCCCCACACGCAGCACUCACACAACCAGAGCGAGUUAUAGUGUCUGCUGCUGUUGCUCUUUGGAUAUUUGGUGGAUAACUUAACUUCUCUCCUUCGUUCUCUCUCUCUCUCGGUUAAUUCUACCUUUGCUCACUGUGUGAGUUGCCUUGUUUUGGCAGCAUUUCAGUUAUAUUUUCUUGUUGUUGUUGUAGGGGGAUCUUUGCAGUGUUGUUUUUGUCUCAGUUUAUUUAACCAAACCAAACGAAACAAAAAAAAAAAUCAUUUAAAUUUUAAUUGAAAAAAAGUACCCAGCUAGAAAUACGAUACAACUGCGAAGCAGAAGAAAUACAUACCUGGCAAAGUGGAAAAAAGCGCAAAACCCCAAAAAAGCAAAAAUCAUAAGCAAUAAAAUAAAACAAAAACAAAAAAUAAGAAAAAACCAGCAACGUGUUAAGAUAAUAUUUUCACUUUUUUUCGUCGAUUUUUAUGUGUGAUGUUGGUUGGUGGUGGCUGCUCAAAUUUCAGAGCUUUAUCUUCUUUGGAGCCGAAUAGAAAAUUAUAAUUUAUGUUUUAGAAAUUUUUGAAGAUUUUCUUCUUGUGAGUGGAGUACCCACAAACAAAAAAAAAAAAAGAUCAAAUAUUGUGGUGUGUGUGAGCAUGUGUUAGUUUUAAUUAACCAAAUAACAGUGAAUGAGAAGGGGGUGCAUUAAGGCUUACCACUACCCCAUUAACAUCGACGAGCCCAUGCCGGUUGCCGAGUGAAAAUUCAGACUCCAUGGUAGCCGAUUUCUAGCCGAGACUGCUAUCUUUGGAUAUUUUUUCAAAUAUUUUCCAAAAAAGGUAAUACUCUCGAUAAAAUACUUGGUUUUAAUAUGCUUCGAAUUGUAACUUAACAGUAAAACUCAUUUGCAAAAAUUUUGGCCAACAAUGUAGGCAUCAAAAUUUGAUGCAAGUAAACACAUACAUACAAUAAAUCAUGUGUUAACAUGCAACAAAGUUGGGAAUUUGUGCAAAAACAACGUUUUAGCAGCCAACAAUACCAACUCCAUCUAAAGUCUAAACCAAAGGAUGCAUACCAGCUGGCAACAGAGAUAUAUUAUUAGCAGUUGGUUCAUUUUUACAAGCAAAUAUCUGACCAUAUGUCAAACCAAGUCAUCAAUAAUAUUUUAAACAGAUUUCUUCCUAUAUACAAACUUUUGACAAAUAUUUUAAUUUGAUGGCAGAAUAUUAUAUUACAAAAGAUACCAAAAUGUCAUCAAUAUUUAUAACCAGCUGAUAUGCUUCAUUAGCUGAUUGUUUUUAUAUUUACUGACCACACAUUGGGCGCUACUGUUUUGGCUUGAAGCAACCAUAGUUUGCUUUUCCAUUACCUUUUACGAGCGCAUCAACUUUAGUCUUCCUCCUUUUUUUUUGGAAGAGAGGCGGCAUUUUUAUUGCUGAAUAUCCUCCAAGUGGUAUUCGUUUGUAAUUAAAAACUCCAAAAGAAAAAGUAGCACUAAAACUGAAUUGGCUUCAGCCUUAGUCUAAUACCCAUUUCUACAUUCAUUAUCGUCUUAAAUAAAAAUCCAAUGCCAUAUUUUCCCAAUAUCAGUAAAAUGAGCAACAAAAUGAGCAGUAAUACAUCUUUGGACAAUACCUCCGAUCAGGAUUACAGUGAGUUCCUCAAUGAAUAUCUACUACAUACACAUUCACCGCAUAAUGAGCCGGAAAUACAAUAUGAAGAGGGCGAAUUUGAAGCUGAAUGGCUAAUUUCUGCUGGUUUUCCACAAUUAACCAAACCAUUUGAGCAGGUAUGUAUCUAUCUAUGGUCUUGGCCAAAUUAC